rnacentral:piRNA from 1 species
UCCAAAUCUUCAUGUUGGAUCAUGGGCAAG